rnacentral:rRNA from 1 species
CCACGGGAUGCAGCAGCAGGGAAUAUUGCACAAUGGACGAAAGUCUGAUGCAGCGACGCCGCGUGGAUGAUGAAGGCCUUCGGGUUGUAAAAUCCUUUUCAGGGAGAAGAGGAAGGACGGUAUCCCUGGAAUAAGCGUCGGCUAACUACGUGCCAGCAGCCGCGGUAAUACGUAGGACGCAAGCGUUAUCCGGAUUUACUGGGCGUAAAGCGUCUGUAGGCGGCAAGGUAAGUUUGAUGUGAAAGCUCCGGGCUUAACUCGGAGAGUGCAUUGAAUACUGCCUAGCUAGAGGGGAUCAGAGGAAAGCGGAAUUUCCGGUGUAGCGGUAAAAUGCGCAGAUAUCGGAAAUAACACCAGUGGCGAAGGCGGCUUUCUGGGAUCAACCUGACGCUGAGAGACGAAAGUUAGGGUAGCGAACAGGAUUAGAUACCCCUGUAGUC